rnacentral:misc_RNA from 1 species
UCCGAGUUGACCCCGGCAGUCUCCUAUGAGUCCCACCAUGACGUGCUGGCAACAUAGAACGAGGGUUGCGCUCGUUGCGGGACUUAACCCAACAUCUCACGACACGAGCUGACGACAGCCAUGCAGCACCUGUCUCCGCGCCCCUUGCGGGGACCACCCAUCUCUGGGCUUAGCGCGGGAUGUCAAACCCUGGUAAGGUUCUGCGCGUUGCGUCGAAUUAAACCACAUGCUCCACUGCUUGUGCGGGUCCCCGUCAAUUCUUUUGAGUUUCACCCUUGCGAGCGUACUCCCCAGGCGGCAUACUUAACGCGUUGGCUACGGCAAAGCUGGGGUUGAGUCCAGCUACACCAAGUAUGCAUCGUUUACGGCAAGGACUAC